rnacentral:rRNA from 1 species
GAUGAACGCUGGCGGCGUGCCUAAUACAUGCAAGUCGAGCGAAUGGAUUAAGAGCUUACUCUUAGGAAGUUAGCGGCGGACGGGUGAGUAACACGUGGGUAACCUGCCCAUAAGACUGGGAUAACCCUGGUAAACCGGGGCUAAGACCCUACUACAUUUUGAACCGCACGGUUCGAAAUUGAAUGGCGGCUUCCGCUGUCACUUAUGGAUGGACCCGCGUCGCAUUAGCUAGUUGGGGAGGUAACGGCUCAUCAAGGCAACGAUGCGUCGCCGAACUGAGAGGGUGAUCGGCCACACUGGGACUGAGACACGGCCCAGACUCCUACGGGAGGCAGCAGUAGGGAAUCUUGCGCAAUGGACGAAAGUCUGACGGAGCAACGCCGCGUGAGUGAUGAAGGCUUUCGGGUCGUAAAACUCUGUUGUUAGGGAAGAACAAGUGCUAGUUGAAUAAGCUGGCACCUUGACGGUACCUAACCAGAAAGCCACGGCUAACUACGUGCCAGCCGCCGCCGUAA